AACGAACGCUGGCGGCAGGCUUAACACAUGCAAGUCGAACGCAUCCUUCGGGGUGAGUGGCAGACGGGUGAGUAACGCGUGGGAACGUGCCCUUCAGUUCGGGAUAACCCAGGGAAACUUGGGCUAAUACCGGAUACGUGCGAGAGCAGAAAGAUUUAUCGCUGAAGGAUCGGCCCGCGUCUGAUUAGCUAGUUGGUGGGGUAAUGGCCCACCAAGGCGACGAUCAGGAGCUGGUCUGAGAGGAUGAUCAGCCACAUUGGGACUGAGACACGGACCCACCUCGUACGGGAGGCAGCAGUGGGGAAUAUUGGACAAUGAGCGCAAGCCUGAUUCAGCCAUGCCGCGUGAGUGAUGAAGGCCUUGGGGUUGUAAAGCUCUUUCGUCCGGGACGAUAAAGACGGUACCGGAAGAAGAAGCCCCGGCUAACUUCGUGCCAGCAGCCGCCGUAA
rnacentral:rRNA from 1 species